rnacentral:rRNA from 1 species
UAUGUGAUCGUCUCUUGCAUAUCAAUAAGCGGAGGAAAAGAAACUAACAAGGAUUCCCCUAGUAACGGCGAGUGAAGCGGGAAGAGCUCAAAUUUGAAAUCUUAAAGGGUUUCCCUUUACGAAUUGUAGUUUAAAGAAGUGUUUUCUGUUGAGGUUUUGGUAAAAGUUCUUUGGAAUAGGACAUCAUAGAGGGUGAGAAUCCCGUAUUUGACCUUUACUUUCAACUUUGUGAUACACUUUCAAAGAGUCGGAUUGUUUGGGAAUGCAGUCCAAAAUGGGUGGUAAAUUUCAUCUAAAGCUAAAUAUUGGCGAGAGACCGAUAGCGAACAAGUACCGUGAGGGAAAGAUGAAAAGAGCUUUGAAAAGAGAGUUAAACAGUACGUGAAAUUGUCAAAAGGGAAGCGUUUGACACCAGUGUUGUUUUUCUGAAAAUCAAUUAAAGAACUGUUUAUGCUAAGUUGUUUAGACUUUAUCAGCUAUCUGUUUAGUUUUGAGCUUUUCUUUAAUGCACUUUUCAGUUAACAAGUCAACAUCAAUUUCUUUUGCUGUAAAAAAGCUUGAGGAAGGUGGCUUGAGAUUCGUCUUAAGUGUUUAUAGCCUCUUGCCUAUGCAGUCGGAGAGAUUGAGGUCUGCAGCGUAGAUCCUUCGGGGCUAAAUGCAUUUGUGCUAAGUUAUAGCAUUUUAUAGACAACUUGUUGACUAUGAUUUGUCUUGUAGCUUACUCGCUUAUGUUAUUUUACCUACGCUUAGGAUGUUGAGUAGCGACAUACGCAC